rnacentral:tRNA from 1 species
UGGAGCAGUUGGCAGCUCGUCGGGCUCAUAACCCGAAGGUCGUAGGUUCAAGUCCUG